UAGCAAUGAUGUAAGAAUUUCUUCACCUGACAGAAGUCAUGAAGAUUAAAAUCCGAGCUUUUUAAAACUGAGCUAG